AUUGAACGCUGGCGGCAUGCCUUACACAUGCAAGUCGAACGGUAACAGGUCUUCGGAUGCUGACGAGUGGCGAACGGGUGAGUAAUACAUCGGAACGUGCCUAGUAGUGGGGGAUAACUACUCGAAAGAGUGGCUAAUACCGCAUGAGAUCUACGGAUGAAAGCAGGGGAUCGCAAGACCUUGUGCUACUAGAGCGGCCGAUGGCAGAUUAGGUAGAUGGUGGGAUAAAAGCUUACCAAGCCGACGAUCUGUAGCUGGUCUGAGAGGACGAUCAGCCACACUGGGACUGAGACACGGCCCAGACUCCUACGGGAGGCAGCAGUGGGGAAUUUUGGACGAUGGGCGCAAGCCUGAUUCAGCAAUGCCGCGUGCAGGAUGAAGGCCUUCGGGUUGUAAACUGCUUUUGUACGGAACGAAAAGCCCUGGGUUAAUACCCUGGGGUCAUGACGGUACCGUAAGAAUAAGCACCGGCUAACUACGUGCCAGCCGCCGCCGUAAUAC
rnacentral:rRNA from 1 species